rnacentral:tRNA from 1 species
UCCGAAUUGGUGUAGUGGCUAACAUUUGACGCUCUCAUGAUAAGUUUAACUUUGGAUGGAACCGUCAAGCCCGGGGUUCGAUUCCCCGAUUCGGAG